rnacentral:lncRNA from 1 species
AGAGAACACAGGCAUUCUGAGGCUCGUGCAUGCUGGAGUGAGGAGGAUGUGUGUCCCCGGGUGAAAGGAGUGUGUCUGGGACACAUGCGUAAGAGAGAGAGAAUAUGCGAUGGUUCAUGGAUGUUACUUGUAUGUCUGAGGCAGGGGCUGUGUGGUAUGAUGGAUUGUGCCUCCCUGAGUGUGUCUGUGGGUGUGAAGGCAUAACUGGUGUGUGCGUGUGUGUGUGUGUGCAGCACAAAGCUAAACCCAGCUUCCUUUGAGAAACUGCAUGGUGCAUUGGACAUUUUCAGAUCUGAACUCCUGGCCCCCUUAUUUCUCCUGCAUUCGAGGGACAGGGUGGGGUUUGCUGCUUCAUAGUAGCUUCCAGACAGACAAAUAGGGCCCUGGAAUGCACUGUGAGCAUUCAAGACUCUCCCAGCCCCCAGCCUGGGCGGAAUGUCCAUCAGGCAGCAGAGGCAGCAGCCCUGGUCUCCACACCUGCCAGGUGGAAGCCCAGGGCUGGACUCAGGAAACCUAGCUUCAGGAAGGACUGCGGAGUGCCCUUGGGCCAAUUGCUUCCCCUCUCUGAUUCCUGCCCCUGCCUUCCCAACACAGGGUUGAAAAAGCACCUGUGUGAUGUGUCAUGUGCUUCAUAGAAGCCAG